rnacentral:tRNA from 1 species
GAGGGGUUAGCUUAAGACUAAAGCGGUUGGCUGUUAACCAAAAAAUAUAAGAUUAUACCCCUCU